AAGGUCUUAGCUUAAUUAAAGUAUCUGGGUUGCAUUCAGGUGAUGUAGGAUAGAGUCCUGCAGGUCUUA
rnacentral:tRNA from 1 species